GUAGUCAUAUGCUUGUCUCAAAGAUUAAGCCAUGCAUGUCUAAGUAUAAGCAACUAUACUGUGAAACUGCGAAUGGCUCAUUAAAUCAGUUAUCGUUUAUUUGAUGGUACCUUACUACUUGGAUAACCGUGGUAAUUCUAGAGCUAAUACAUGCUAAAAGCCUCGACUUCGGGAGGGGUGUAUUUAUUAGAUAAAAAACCAAUGCCCUCCGGGGCUCCUUGGUGAUUCAUAAUAACUUAACGAAUCGCAUGGCCUUGUGCCGGCGAUGGUUCAUUCAAAUUUCUGCCCUAUCAACUUUCGAUGGUAGGAUAGUGGCCUACCAUGGUUUCAACGGGUAACGGGGAAUUAGGGUUCUAUUCCGGAGAGGGAGCCUGAGAAACGGCUACCACAUCCAAGGAAGGCAGCAGGCGCGCAAAUUACCCAAUCCCGAUGCGGNGAGGUAGUGACAAUAAAUACUGAUACAGGGCCCUUUUGGGUCUUGUAAUUGGAAUGAGUACAAUUUAAAUCUCUUAACGAGGAACAAUUGGAGGGCAAGUCUG
rnacentral:rRNA from 1 species